rnacentral:rRNA from 1 species
GCCUUUCGGGCCACAGCCAGAGGGAAACCGAGUCUUAAUAGGGCGACAAGUCGUAAGUGGUAGACGCGAAACUGCGUGAUCUACUCAUGGGCAGGUUGAAGCGCGGGUUAAACUGCGUGGAGGACCGAACCCACUUGGGUUGAAAACCGAGGGGAUGACCUGUGAGGAGGAGUGAAAGUCUAAUCCAACGCAGAGAUAGCUCGUUCUCUCCGAAAUAUCUUUAGGGAUAGCCUCGUGCCACUACGUCUCGGGGGUAGAGAUACUGAAUCGGAUGAGGGCCCUUUCCGGGGUACCUCACUGAACCAAACUCCGAAUACCGAGACGACUAUCACGGGAGUCAGUCCGCGUGGGAUAAGCUGCGUGGUCGAGAGGGAAACAACCCAGAUCGUCGGCUAAGGUCCCGAAGUUAUGCUUAGUCACUAAGGAAGUUGAAUUGCAGUGACAGCCAGGAUGUUGGCUUAGAAGCAGCCACCAUUUAAACAUAGCGUAACAGCUGACUCAUCGAGUGACGUUGCGCCGAAAAUGAUUGGCGAUCAAGCGGUAUACCGAAGCCAUGGAUGUCUUCGGACAUGGUAGAAGAGCGUAGUCAGGCCAUAGAAGCUUUCCUGUAAAGGGAGGUGGAGGGCUGACUAGUGAGAAUGCAGACAUGAGUAGCGAUAAACAAAGUGAGAAUCUUUGUCUCCGUAAACCCAAGGUUUCCUGGGCCAGGCUCGUCCCCCCAGGGUUAGUCGGGACCUAAGGCGAGGCCGAAAGGCGUAGUCGAUGGAUAACAGGUUAAUAUUCCUGUACCAAGGUACAAUAUGGGACGCAUGAUGAAGGAUGGCACACACUAUGAUAUGUGAUUCUAGGCUUCGGCCGAAAUACGCCAUUUGGAUUUGUGCCGAGAAAACCGUACCGGCCCGUACCGUAUACCGACACAGGUAGGUGAGUCGAAUAGACUAAGGAGCGCGAGAGAAAUCUCUCCAAGGAACUCGGCAAAUUAGCCCCGUAACCUCGGGAGAAGGGGUGCCCACUUCGGUGGGCCACAGUAAAUUGGGACUGGCGACUGUUUACCAAAAACACAGCUCUCUGCUAAGUCGUGAAGACGACGUAUAGGGAGUGACACGUGACCAAUGCGGAAAGAUUAAGGUGACUUGUUAGCACUUGAUGCGAAGCUCGGAGCCCAAGUCCCCGUGAAUGUCGGCCGUAACUAUAACGGUCCUAAGGUAGCGAAAUUCCUUGUCGGGUAAGUUCCGACCUGCACGAAUCGUGCAACGACCGGUCCGCUGUCUCGGAGAGAAUCUCGGCGAAGUUGUAAUUGCGGUGAAGAUGCCGCAUACCCGCAGUAGGACGGAAAGACCCUGUGCACCUUUACUGUAAGCAAGUAUUGUGUUCUGAUUAGUGAUGCGUAGCGUAGGUGGGAGACUUUGAAGUGAUGGCUUAGGUUGUCAUGGAGUCAUAAUGUGAAACACCACUCUUUAUUAAUUAGGAUUCUAACACUGAUUCCUCUGAAGCGAGGCAGUGGACAGUGCUUGCGGGUGAGUUUGACUGGGGCGGUUUCCUACCAAAGAGUAACGGG